AUGGCCGGGCCCGGCGCGUGGCAGCGCUUCAGGGCGCUGCUGCGGAGGCGCGACGCGCCGCUCUUCCUGCACGACGCCAGCGCCCUGGACCUGGCCGACGACGCGGCCUUCGAGGCGCCGCCCCGCCUCACCAAGCUGCGCGCCGUGGUGGCCGACGACGGCGACGCCCCCGAGGCGCCCCCCGCGCCCGACGACGACGCGCUGCUGGACCCCGACGUGCCGCUGGCGCCCCCGCGCCUGAGCCUCAAGGCCGACGAGCCCUGCGCGCGCUGCAGCGGCCGGCGCGACUCGCUCCGCCAGCGCAGGGUCAAGGCCCGCCUGGCGCUCGCCGCGCUGCUCUACCUGCUCUUCAUGGUCGGCGAGCUCGUGGGUGGAUACAUUGCGAAUAGCCUAGCAAUCAUGACAGAUGCACUUCAUAUGUUAACUGACCUAAGUGCCAUCAUAUUGACCCUACUUGCUUUGUGGCUGUCUUCAAAAUCACCAACUAAAAGGUUCACCUUUGGAUUUCACCGCUUAGAGGUUUUGUCAGCCAUGAUUAGCGUGCUGUUGGUUUAUAUACUUAUGGGAUUCCUCCUGUAUGAAGCUGUCCAAAGAACUAUUCAUAUGCAAUAUGAGAUAAAUGGAGAUAUAAUGCUUAUUACUGCUGCUGUUGGAGUUGCAGUUAACAUAAUAAUGGGGUUUCUGUUGAAACAGUCUGGCCACCAUCACGCCCAUUCCCACUCCUUGCCUUCAAGUUCUUCUACCAUAGGUCCUAGGGGUGAACACAACCAUGGGCAGGAUAGUCUAGCAGUGAGAGCUGCAUUUGUACAUGCCUUGGGGGACUUGGUACAGAGUGUUGGUGUGCUGAUAGCUGCAUAUAUCAUACGAUUCAAGCCAGAAUACAAGAUUGCUGAUCCCAUCUGUACCUAUGUAUUUUCAUUACUUGUUGCUUUUACAACAAUUCGCAUCAUAUGGGACACAGUAGUUAUAAUACUAGAAGGUGUACCAAGCCACUUGAAUAUAGACCAUAUCAAAGAAAGCUUGAUGAAGAUAGAAGAUGUAUAUUCAGUGGAAGACUUAAAUAUCUGGUCUCUCACUACAGGAAAACCUACUGCCAUAGUACACCUACAGCUAAUUCCUGGAAGUUCACCUAAAUGGGAGGAAGUACAAUUCAAAGCAAAGAAUUUAUUAUUGAACACCUUUGGCAUGUAUAAAUGUACUAUUCAGCUUCAGACUUAUAGGCAAGAAGUGGACAGAAUUUGUGCAAAUUGUCAGAGUUCCUAUCCCUGAGUCUGUGUUUGGAGAACUACUGCCUUAUUUAUCCUGCAGUCUUAGACUUGAGAGCAAUAAAUUCAAGCCUAAAUGAGAAGAUGGAAUUCCAGACAGCUGUGUCCAUGUAAGCAGUGUCUGUCGUGUUAUGCCUCUGGACGGGGUUUUAAAGUUACAGAUUUGUGGCGAUGUCUCUACAACACACCCCAGAAACAGAAAGGAAAGAAGCCCUGCAAAAGUGUUGAGGACCGACAUGAAGGCUGAGAAGGAUUCCC